CAGCCGCCACGGUAAUACAGAGGAUGCAAGCGUCAUCCGGAAUGAUUGGGCGUAAAGCGUCUGUAGGUGGCUUUUCAAGUCCGCCGUCAAAUCCCAGGGCUCAACCCUGGACAGGCGGUGGAAACUACCAAGCUGGAGUAUGGGAGAGGUGAGUGGAAUUUCCGGUGUAGCGGUGAAAUGCGUAGAUAUCGGAAGGAACACCUGUGGCGAAAGCGGCUCACUGGACCAUAACUGACGCUGAUGCACGAAAGCUAGGGGAGCAAACAGGAUUAGAUACCCGUGUAGUCCCUGUCUCUUAUAC
rnacentral:rRNA from 1 species